rnacentral:tRNA from 1 species
GAAAAGGCGGCCGUUGAGGUGUUAAGUUGUAACCUUAGUUAUAGAAAAGUUUUUCUUCUUUUUA